rnacentral:rRNA from 1 species
GGGAUUGCCUCAGUAACGGCGAGUGAAGCGGCAUCAGCUCAGAUUUGAAAUCUGGCCCCUUCGGGGUCCGAGUUGUAAUCUGUAGAGAGUGCUUCGGGUGAGACCACGGYCUAAGUCCAUUGGAACAUGGCGUCAUAGAGGGUGAGAAUCCCGUAUGUGACUGUGGCUCGAGCCCAUGUGAAGCCUCUUCGACGAGUCGAGUUGUUUGGGAAUGCAGCUCAAAAUGGGUGGUAAAUUUCAUCUAAAGCUAAAUACUGGCUGGAGACCGAUAGCGCACAAGUAGAGUGAUCGAAAGAUGAAAAGCACUUUGGAAAGAGAGUCAAACAGUACGUGAAAUUGUUGAAAGGGAAGCGCUGGCAACCAGACCUGUCCGUAGGUGAUCAGCCGCUGUUUUCAGUGGUGCACUCGCUCUACGAUCAGGCCAGCAUCGGUUCUGGCGGUCGGAUAAAGGCCUUGGGAAUGUAGCUUCCUUUCGGGGGAGUCUUAUAGCCCUCGGUGCAAUGCGGCCAGCCGGGACCGAGGACCGCGCUUCGGCUAGGAUGCUGGCGUAAUGGUUGUCAGCGACCCGUCUUGAAACACGGACCAAGGAGUCUAACAUCUAUGCGAGUGUUUGGGUGUCAAACCCAUGCGCGGAAUGAAAGUGAACGGAGGUGAGAACCCUUAAGGGCGCAUCAUCGACCGAUCCAGAUGUCUUCGGAUGGAUUUGAGUAUGAGCAUAAAUGUUGGGACCCGAAAGAUGGUGAACUAUGCCUGAAUAGGGUGAAGCCAGAGGAAACUCUGGUGGAGGCUCGCAGCGGUUCUGACGUGCAAAUCGAUCGUCAAAUUUGGGUAUAGGGGCGAAAGACUAAUC